rnacentral:rRNA from 1 species
AAUGAACGCUGGCGGCAUGCCUUACACAUGCAAGUCGAACGGCAGCAUGACCUAGCUUGCUAGGUUGAUGGCGAGUGGCGAACGGGUGAGUAAUGCAUCGGAACGUGCCUUUUAGUGGGGGAUAACGUAGCGAAAGUUACGCUAAUACCGCAUAUUCUCUGAGGAGGAAAGCAGGGGACCUUCGGGCCUUGCGCUAGAAGAGCGGCCGAUGUCGGAUUAGCUAGUUGGUGAGGUAAAGGCUCUCCAAGGCAACGAUCCGUAGCGGGUCUGAGAGGAUGAUCCGCCACACUGGGACUGAGACACGGCCCAGACUCCUACGGGAGGCAGCAGUGGGGAAUUUUGGACAAUGGGCGCAAGCCUGAUCCAGCCAUGCCGCGUGAGUGAAGAAGGCCUUCGGGUUGGAAAGCUCUUUCGGCGGGGAAGAAAUCGCACCCUCUAAUACAGGGUGUGGAUGACGGUACCAGCAUAAGAAGCACCGGCUAACUACGUG